rnacentral:rRNA from 1 species
AGUGAACGCUGGCGGCGUGCUUAACACAUGCAAGUCGAACGAGAACGGAUUAUAGCUUGCUAUAAUUGUCAGCUAAGUGGCGCACGGGUGAGUAAUGUAUAGAUAACCUGCCCUCUAGAAAGGAAUAACAGUUGGAAACGACUGCUAAUGCCCUAUAUGCCUUUAAUACAUAAGUAUGCAAGGGAAACGCUUUAGUGCUAGAGGAUGGGUCUGUAUGGUAUCAGUUAGUUGGUGAGGUAAUGGCUCACCAAGACUAUGACGCCUAACUGGUUUGAGAGGAUGAUCAGUCACACUGGAACUGAGACACGGUCCAGACUCCUACGGGAGGCAGCAGUGGGGAAUAUUGCACAAUGGACGAAAGUCUGAUGCAGCAACGCCGCGUGGAGGAUGACACAUUUCGGUGCGUAAACUCCUUUUAUAUAGGAAGAUAAUGACGGUACUAUAUGAAUAAGCACCGGCUAACU